AGUGAACGCUGGCGGUAGGCCUAACACAUGCAAGUCGAACGGCAGCACAGUAAGAGCUUGCUCUUACGGGUGGCGAGUGGCGGACGGGUGAGGAAUACAUCGGAAUCUACUUUUUCGUGGGGGAUAACGUAGGGAAACUUACGCUAAUACCGCAUACGACCUACGGGUGAAAGCAGGGGAUCUUCGGACCUUGCGCGAUUGAAUGAGCCGAUGUCGGAUUAGCUAGUUGGUGGGGUAAAGGCCCACCAAGGCGACGAUCCGUAGCUGGUCUGAGAGGCUGAUCAGCCACACUGGAACUGAGCCACGGUCCAGACUCCUACGGGAGGCAGCAGUGGGGAAUAUUAGACAAAGGGCGCAAGCCUGAUCCAGCCAUACCGCGUGGGUGAAGAAGGCCUUCGGGUUGUAAAGCCCUUUUGUUGGGAAAGAAAAGCAGCAGGUUAAAACCCCGCUGUUCUGACGGUACCCAAAGAAUAAGCACCGGCUAACUUCGUG
rnacentral:rRNA from 1 species